GAUGUCUCACCAAUCCUAGAACAAUCUUUCUAAACCUUUCAAGGCGAAAUCAUAGCAUGCACUUGAGAAAGAAAUGAUCUAGGCAUUCUUUGAAUUUUAAACCCAUAUUUUAGCCUUAGCCAACCUCACUUAAAAAUUUCCCUUUGGAACCAAUUUGAGCCUACAUUUAUCCCUCUUAUUCCUUUGGAACCCACAUUACUACCUAGCCAUAAACUCAAACACUUACCUACCCUCCAUGAGAAUAAUUCUUUGAAUGAUAGAUACACUUAAAAAAAAAUAAUAAUAAUUAGUUGGGAGUUUUGAUUCAAAAAAAAAAAAAGGGAGAAAGCUAGCAAAUUCAAUUAUGGUAUGUAAAGUAAUUCACCACCCAAGUACACAAAGAAAUGAGUUUGGGGGUGAAUUGAAAGGGACAAUUAUAAUUCAAAGUCAAUGUUAUUUAUGUAGUCCCUCUAAAAGCUUCAAAAUUAUAUGCUAGCAUUGGUGAAUAGUUGUAAAGUUUCUUCUCCCAAAUCCUUCCUAAAAAAAAAAAAAAUUUGUGUAUCUUGAUCUUUUAAUAAUUUGAUU
rnacentral:misc_RNA from 1 species